rnacentral:misc_RNA from 1 species
GUGAAUCAUCGAAUUUUUGAACGCAAAUUGCACUCUCUUCGGAGAGGAUGCCUGUUUGAGGGUCAGCCUAAAAAAAAUCGACAUCGUUGCUGUUUCGCGGUAACAUUCGUCGGAAAUUGGGUCAUCUUAAACCUUUUGGUUUAAGCGGCUUAAAAUUUUUCUUACGAUUUCUACGAACGUUUCUAAGAAUUUCUUGUACGUUCGCGACAU